GGGGACGCUGGCGGCGUGCUUACACAUGCAAGUCGAGCGAUGAAGCUCCUUCGGGAGUGGAUUAGCGGCGGACGGGUGAGUAACACGUGGGUAACCUGCCUCAUAGAGGGGAAUAGCCUUUCGAAAGGAAGAUUAAUACCGCAUAAGAUUGUAGUACCGCAUGGUACAGCAAUUAAAGGAGUAAUCCGCUAUGAGAUGGACCCGCGUCGCAUUAGCUAGUUGGUGAGGUAACGGCUCACCAAGGCGACGAUGCGUAGCCGACCUGAGAGGGUGAUCGGCCACAUUGGGACUGAGACACGGCCCAGACUCCUACGGGAGGCAGCAGUGGGGAAUAUUGCACAAUGGGGGAAACCCUGAUGCAGCAACGCCGCGUGAGUGAUGACGGUCUUCGGAUUGUAAAGCUCUGUCUUUAGGGACGAUAAUGACGGUACCUAAGGAGGAAGCCACGGCUAACUACGUGCCAGCAGCCGCGGUAAUACGUAGGUGGCAAGCGUUGUCCGGAUUUACUGGGCGUAAAGGGAGCGUAGGCGGGUAGGUAAGUUGAAUGUUUAAUCUAUGGGCUCAACCCAUAGCUGCGUUCAAAACUGUUUAUCUUGAGUGGGGUAGAGGCAGAUGGAAUUCCUAGUGUAGCGGUGAAAUGCGUAGAUAUUAGGAGGAACACCAGUGGCGAAGGCGAUCUGCUGGGCCCUAACUGACGCUGAGGCUCGAAAGCGUGGGUAGCAAACAGGAUUAGAUACCCUGGUAGUCCACGCCGUAAACGAUGAUUACUA
rnacentral:rRNA from 1 species